UACGAAGGGGGCUAGCGUUGCUCGGAAUUAUUGGGCGUAAAGCGCGCGCAGGCGGUCCUUUAAGUCUGAUGUGAAAGCCCACGGCUCAACCGUGGAGGGUCAUUGGAAACUGGGGGACUUGAGUGCAGAAGAGGAAAGCGGAAUUCCACGUGUAGCGGUGAAAUGCGUAGAGAUGUGGAGGAACACCAGUGGCGAAGGCGGCUUCUGGUCUGUAACUGACGCUGAGGCGCGAAAGCGUGGGGAGCAAACAGG
rnacentral:rRNA from 1 species